ACUUGAUGAUGUGGGCAUUUAUGUACUAGGUCCCUAAAAUGAUCCCAAGACUUGAAAAAUCGCUCACCAUCUAUCUGUGAAAAACUGGUGAUAGACUUCCUAAGCU